rnacentral:rRNA from 1 species
AUCUAUGGUCAUACCAGUCUGAAAGUGUCUGAUCUUGUCAGCUCUCAGAAGCCAUCCAGACUCAGGUCUGGUUAGUACUUGUAAGGGAGACCAACUAGGAACCUCAGGUGCCGUAAUGG